rnacentral:rRNA from 1 species
CACAACGACUCUCGGCAACGGAUAUCUCGGCUCUCGCAUCGAUGAAGAACGUAGCGAAAUGCGAUACUUGGUGUGAUUGCAGAAUCCCGUGAACCAUCGAGUCUUUGAACGCAAGUUGCGCCCGAAGCCGUUAGGCCGAGGGCACGCCUGCCUGGGCGUCACGC